GAUGCUUAUUUGUUUAUAUUUACAGAUCCUAACCCCGUAAGAACUCUGAGCUUCUUCCAGCUAAGUGAAAAUAAUAUCCUGAGGGGAGUGCUUUGUGAUUCAAGAACUUUUUUGCCAAAGCUACAAAGAGUCUCUACUUCCUGCAAAGAGAUUAUGACCAAAUUUAUCACCACCAAUGUGAUCUACCAUCCAUCUUCUUCAGGUACCUUGUUUUCCCUGUUUCAGUCAUCCUCAGCUAGCUCCUUGAAGACUAUAUUCCUGACAGCUCCCACAAUUCACCAACACAUCUGUCUCUGAGACAGUCCUGACAUAUUGAUGCAAUACCACAUGUUCCCUAUUUGAUUUAAAAUUUAAGAUUUCAAUAUGAGGAAAGCUAUCAUACCACAAUCACAUUUAAUUCUUUCAACAACCAGCAAAUAUGUUAACAUAUUUUAAAAUCACAGGAGGUUAAAACUAGAACAAAUUUGAGUAAAUUGUAAAGGUGAGCAAGAACACUUUUGUCUGGUUCAAAUUGUUGAAUGUUUUCUUUCACUUCCUCAAUUCUAGUUUAGUGAGUCUAAGACUUACAGUGUGUAAAUAUCACUAUAUAUUAUAGUUAAUUUAAAGGACUUCCUAGGAGUAGAUUUGAAGUAGAUUUUAUUUUGGCCUUAGCUCUGAUUUUAGAGCCACCGCCUCUCUCUUCAACCCCUAGCCCCCUGCAAAGGUACACACGUAAGAUUUACCUCCAUCUUAACUCCCCAUCUUCAUAUUGAUGUGCCUCAGAAAUAGGUCAUGCUCCUAGAUCAUUCCCCAAAAGCUCACCUUCCAUUGUACCUUUUUAUGCCACUGUGGAACUGAUACAUACCUUCUUGCUCUGGUAACAUUCUUUCCCUGUUAGUUCUGGGUCUCUGUAUACUCCUUAGACCCUGUCUGAGCUGCCAGUAAGUGAACAGAGCCCUGCAGCAUUGACUUAAUUUUGUCCCCCUCCUUCCCUGGAAUUAGAGCAUUGACUCCACCACCCUGAGGGCCUCUCACUUGACUCUGAUAAGGGAGUCCCACCUCAGCUCUUUUCUGUCUCUAUACUAAUAUUCCACACCAGCACUGACUUGCCUACUUUUUUGGUUGUUACUAUUGCUGACAGAAUACCACCAGAGCCAGUUUUGUUUUCUGAGCUAUUAUAACUCCAGUGUUUAUGUCUCAUCCAAGAACCUAAUUCCCUCCUGCUCUCUCAGUUUUGUAGGCUUUCAGUAAGAAAAGAAGAACUGUAUUGCUGAAUCUAUGGAUAAAAUAUACCAAGUUUUAUAGAAUGCAAGCCUUUUUGAAUUGUGUAGUAAAGAAGACACUGGUUUAGUUCUCAUCCUGACCAGGUUCUAACUUUACCACUGAUGAGAUUUAUAAUUGCAACAAGUAACCUAUCUUCUCUCCCCUCAGUGUCCUCAUCUGUUAGAGUUAUUGUGAUAAUUAAAUAUGAUCAUAUGUGAAAGGUGCCUAGCAGGGAUUACACAGUUUAUUUUCCAGUAUGAAAAAAACUUAUCUCCCCUUCCUUCAUUUUAGGAUAUGAAAAAGGGGAGGAGGUAUCAUUUUCUUCUUGGGAUGAGAAUCCUCCUCAUAAGUAUGGAUUUCCAACUUGAACUAGAAUAGGAAAAUCUUUAGAGCCCAGUUUGAUUCCAACUUGGUUAAUUCAAAUUUGUUUUAACAUUAGCCAUUUGCUGCUCUCCAGAAGAAUUUUUGCCAGCGUUAUAUCCAUCUGACCUUCUGCAAUGAAAGAGAAUGGAAUUGUAGUAACUAGGUACAAGAGGAGGGCAUAAGCAGAUGUAACUAAUAUGGUCGGUGAAAACUGGUGAGGUGAGCUGAAAAAUAAGACACGUGGAGUUCAUUUGCAGAUUAGUUAUUAUUUUACUACAAAAAGAAGUGAUGUGUAUGACCCACAGCUAAAAAAUAAAUUCAGGCUUUUAAGACA
ensembl:lncRNA